GCGAGCUCCACCUCUCGGCGCAGCCGUGCAGCCGUUCCCGGCGCCUCCUCGGAUGCCGCGCGCGUUUCUGACCCCGCCGCGGCGGACGCGGAGCAGGAACCUUCUUGGCGGUCAGGAUGCCGGACCUGGUCACGAACUCGACCAUGGCGGCGUGCUGCUGCUUCGCUAGGACGGUGGUGAAGAGGAAGUGGGCGGAUGCCAGCGUCGCGUGGCCGCAGAGAUCCACCUGAAGACGACGACGCGUGCGGAUGAACACACAGAACACGAGUAACAGGAAACCUAGGGUUGGGGGAAGGGGAGGCAACCUCGGCGGCGGGGGUGAACCAGCGGAGGCGUCCGGUUCCUACUUCCUACUAGCAGUCUCUGAUCUGCUUGACGAUCUGUUUCGCAGGCGUGAUUUCUGUUCCUGGAUCUCUCUCUGAUGAAUGGAUUGUUUUGCGCAGAUCCUGACACUGUGGUACAGGGCUCCCGAGGUUCUUCUUGGCGCAACACACUACUCCACUCCGGUUGACAUCUGGUCUGUGGGCUGCAUUUUUUGCUGAGUUGGUCACUACUCAACCUCUUUUCGCUGGAGAUUCCGAGGUUCAGCAGCUUCUGCACAUUUUCAAGUUGCUGGGCACCCCAAAUGAGCAAGUUUGGCCAGGAGUGAGCAAGCUACCGAACUGGCACGAGUACCCCCAGUGGAAUCCCUCGAAAGUGUCUGAUCUUGUCCAUGGUCUCGAUGCUGAUGCUGUACUCAACGACGUGAACAAGGAGCUCUACUGAACGUCUGCACGGCUGCGCCGAGAGGUGGAGCUCGCCGCCGGCGGCGGCUGUCGCGUCGCCGGCCGCCACCGCCGGACCUCCCCUGACCCCGUGGGCCGUGGUGCUUGGAGGCUGGAGAGAGGAGGGGAGAGAGUUGGAGAGAGGGGAGAGGGAAAGGUAGGAGGAAGAUGAGG